AUAUCAACCAAUGAAAGCGACGCUUACUUUUCUUUUUUAUUCCCUAUAAAAGUGAAAGCUGCGCUGUGAUUGGUCGCUAUGCAGUGUUUCUAUUUAGACUGUUAUAAAUCCCUUCCCUAUCAAUACUAACCCCACCUGACACAGGGACCCCAAAUUCUGUGAUCACAUUACAGUCAGAUGGGCCAUUGGGAUCAGUAGUUCUGUUAGGACAGGAGGGGUAGUAAGUACACAUCACAGUGAUGUCUAGUGGUACGCCCCCCCGCACCUGAGAGCUUUGGCUCUCGCUCCCCGCACCUCCAGCUAUUGACUUGCCGUCUGCUGUAUGGACACUUGGAAUAAAGCAUCGUUUGGCAAAUACUUCUCAGUGGGCUUGUUUGUUGUUUCUUUAUUUCCAGAAUCGCCUUGGUCAAACAUCUUAGGCUGAGUUCACACCCCUGUUCUUUCUUCUGUUGUUCCGCUACAUCACAAAAGGAGAAAAAGGAAAAUAAUGUUACUGCCAGAUCUCAACAGCACUCAAUGGACUCUAUAGAGUUUUAUGGGGUCCAUCUGGUAUCCGUCAUCGUAUCCAUCGUUUUACCAAACAACAUAGCAAAGCAUGAACACUUAUAGAUGAGCCUGUAAAUUAAAGGGGAAGAUUAAAUACAGGAGGCAGCACUGUGUACCUGUGUACAUACUACUGCAGCACAACAAACAAGGGGUUAUGCAAACAACUGAAACCACUGCUGCUGAGAUAAGGGUAAAGCUUUGAUUUACCUUUUAUGGACAGUGUACAUCCUCUGGAGAACAGACACAGCUUGUAUUCUUUCUCUAUUUCCUGCACAAUAGUAGUGGCAAAACCCCGCCCCCACUUCUUGUAGUAUGUCUUGCUGUGUCUGUUACUAGAGACGUUCUGGACCUGACAACAGGCAGAGGACAAAAGCUUGUAGGAAGGGAAAAACUUCUUGACCAAGACUUUUGAGCAGUUUUUUUUUAUGGUAAGGUUUGCUUUAUGGUAAACAAAGUGAUUUAGAGAAAUGUUCGGAAUUACAUAUGCUGUCAAAUGGAGCAAAGUUAUUUGAAAUGAAAGGGAACAUUUUAAAAGAAAAGAUUAAAAAAGAGGAAAUAGAGAAUUUGUUUUAGGCAUUAUUGCCCAGCCCUACCUACUACCCUACAGAAGCUUUAA